rfam:Gossypium hirsutum cultivar TM-1 chromosome 15, whole genome shotgun sequence
UGUUAAAACUUUCAUCUAUUUCUAUUGUUAAAAACUAGUGUACCUGACAGAAUAACCAGACAAUGAUAUAUGGCAUGCCAUUUGUACCCCAUGUUGAUGUAUAGGGACCAAAUUUUAACAAUAGAAAUGGAUGAAAAUUUUAACA